CAAAUUUAGGGGCCGUUGGUUUCUGGGCUGGGAGCACACGCUGCUGGCUCAUGUUGAGUUUUUCAUUAACCAUCACCCCCAAUGUUUCUCCUCAGUUCCUUCUCCAUCCAACCUGUGUGUCUGGGAUAGAGGGCAACAACAGCUUCCCCAGAGCAGCUGUGGCUACCCCUGGAUCCCUGGAAGUGUUCAAGGCCAGGCUGGACAGUGGGGCUUGGAGUUACCUGGGAUGGUGGAAGGUGUCCCUGCCCAUGGCAUGGGGUGGAACUGGUGCUGCCACACAGAGGCAGAGUUGAGGCUGCUUCUAAGGGGAAAGAGUGAAGGAAGAAAAUCCUUUUUGGUUAGAAAUUACCUGCAUUUCCUGCUGGGGACACCCCAUCACCUAUCAAGGCUUUUUCCUUAUCCAAGAACUCGUGGUUUAGGUUAUUUUCUUAAGCACCUUUACAUGUCCUGAGGAUGAGCUGAACACCAAACCAGAUGAACGAGCUGCAGGAGCCCAGCACUUGCCCACAUGGGGCUGACCUUUUGAAGGACCACUUGAAGAGAGCAGAGGCUUGGCCAGGUGAUGAUUCCAAGCUCUGCAGUCCCUGGAUCAGGUACAGCAUGAGAGCCCUGACCUCAUUUACAGCUCCUGCAUUUCUGAAAUGCCAAGAGAUUAUGCAGAGAGCUUUCCUGAGUGUGAUCAUGUGAGGCAGGAGACAUGAAGUCAUUGUCCUAAAGCCCAAGGUGAAACCAGACUGUCCCAAAAAGUCCCAGCCAGGCUUGGAGCUGCAUUUUGUAGUGCUGCAGGAAGCAGAACUGAUCCUGGCUAAUUUUUUCUAGGUGGUUUUGCUAAGGUGAAGGGGAUUUUGUGGUCACACCAACACACAACCACAAUUUGAGCAAGGUUUGGGUUACAAAAAUACCAAAUGUGUGUGAAUUUCAUGAGUUGUCUAUUAGAGUGAACUGUUUCCUGGCUUCAUCCUUUUGGGAAAGUUGGCAUCUAGAAUUCCACUCAGAGCAGUUUUCUGGGCAUCAGCAUUAAAAAAAUAAAAGUGAAGACAUAAUUA